CCAGGCAAGAGGCAACACUCCAGACUCCAAACGUUUGAAUCAGCCAAACCUGUGUGAGACAUCCCGACUUCAGGAAGAGCAUCCGUGAUCCGCUGCUGCCCUCCGGCUGAGGGGAGUCUGCAUGGGCAUGUGGACGGGGGCAUCCCCCAGGGAGAUAUGGGUUUCGGGGAGGCUGUAAAUUGAGGACACAAGCUCAGGAAAGGGUCUUAGAGGCCAGACCUGCCCAGCAAAGGGAGGGAGGGGAACGGUCUCACUCCCUGAAAUGCUGGGGAGGGUUUUCCAAGGCCAGUGAUCCCACUGCAGGAGUGGUAAGAUGGGAGGGGCAUAGACUGAGCACGACCUGUGGACAGACCACUGUACUGAGUUCUGGGAAAGCUCUCCCAGCUGGGAAGCAGGUCUCUCCCUCAGGAUCUCCCCUCAGUGGGGGCAAAGCCUGGGGCAGAUGCAUCGGGAGCGAUGAAAUGAUAAAACACAACACAGGCAGACCCCCGAUGUGGUGGCGGGGGCUGGGGCCAGGGGAGAGAAAAAGCAGAGGAAACUGGAGGGGUAACCGCCAUCCCCACAGACUGUAGGUUUUCCCACCCAAUGGUUUUCUUUUCAGAGCACCAUGGCAGAGGGGAGCAGGCAGCCUCCCACCCAGAGGGGAUUCUGGAAGGGUCUGUGGAGAGCACUCUUCCAUCAUCUGGCCGCCAUGAGGAAUCCAAAUAAAUUAUUUGACAUAUGUUGAAUCGUACCAGCAGAGGAGGAGGAGAAGGCAAAAGAGAAGGUGGAGCAGGAGAGCCCAUCCUGCCACCUUUCCCGAACCAGCCCUCCCAGGGAGCACCUCCAGGACACAACCUCAUCCUGCCUUUCACCCCAAGCCCCAACCUUGGCCUCCCGUCUUGGCCAUUGCCUCAGGAUCUGACCUCAGCCUGCACUCCAGGCCAUCUCCCCAAUAUCGGACCUCAACCUGCCCUACCGGCCCUUGCUCCAAGAGGCAACUAGAGCCCGACCUCCUGGCCAUCACCCCCAGGCAGCCCCUCUGUGGCCAUUUCUGCCAGAUCUGCCCUCAGCCUGCCUUCCGAGUGAUCACCCCCAGAAUUCCACCUAAGGCCGAACGGAUGCUAGGCUCUUUUUCCUAGGGUUUGGGCCACGGGGCAGAGAGGUGAGCUCCCUGCCACUCCCACGUUGGAGACCACACGGGAUCUGUUCCCAACCCUUCUGCCCCUGUCUUCCGGGAGCCACAGGAUCAUACACGUGCCGCCUCUGGGCCGCCAUGGCCGCCUUCCUCACCCCUCCUCUCCUUGAUAUCGUCCCUGUAGUCCAGGGCAUUAAGGACCCAUCUUACGGCAUCUACCCUACUGUUUAAGAUGCCUGCAGCCAUUUUCCUCACCCCAUACCUCAUCACCACAUGGGAGAGAUUCUCUUGCCCUGACCCCUGGCCCCAUCUUCCCUGCCUCCUGCCCAGGGCACGGCCUGCCCUGCCUCACGGUCCAACCAUCCAAGACACCUCCCCCCGAUCAGGGAUGAUCCCCAGUGACCCCACCUCCUUUCCUGCUUAGGUUCCCACCUCAUCACUUUGAUCUUCGGCCCGGGCCAAGGCCAUUCCCGCUGACAAGUCCCAGAACAAAGAGCCCUGUGGACAUCCGAGCCGGCCUCGUGGCAUUCGUUCGGCACUUUCCCAAGUGUCUCAUGCUGUACUGAAUGCAGGAGUAGAGAAGAUUUAUUCAGAUUUCCUACAGUCCCCAUCCAACGUGGGUCUCAGAGUCUACUUGAAAGGGAGGAGAGCUAAUUCACUCAUCUAUUAUACAGUCCAUAGGUCACUCUGCUGCCCGGAUCAUUUUUCUACAGAAAUGUUCUGCCCAUGGUUCUUCACUUCUUAAGAACCUCCAUGCCUGCAGUGUACAACUAAAAGUUAUACAGCGUCAAAUGGAGUUCUACAGGGAACCCCAACUGCCCGAUGUUCAGGCGGGAUUCCGGAAAAAACGAGGGACGUGAGGUGUUCUGCUGAAGUCCGUUGGAUAACUGAAGUGAAAAUUGCAAUAUAUUUUUAAUAUAUUGAAUAUCAAAA